rnacentral:rRNA from 1 species
GUGCCAGCAGCCGCGGUAAUACAGAGACUGCAAGCGUUAUUCGGAUUCACUGGGCGUAAAGGGUGCGCAGGCGGCCAGGUGUGUCAGGUGUGAAAGCCCGGAGCUUAACUCCGGAAUUGCGCCUGAAACUACUUGGCUAGAGCAUUGGAGAGGGUAGCGGAAUUCACGGUGUAGCAGUGAAAUGCGUAGAUAUCGUGAGGAACACCAGAGGCGAAGGCGGCUACCUGGACAAUUGCUGACGCUCAGGCACGAAAGCGUGGGGAGCAAAAGGGAUUAGAUACCCCAGUAGUCC